rnacentral:lncRNA from 1 species
UGUUAAUCUAACUUAGUAACUUUGGAAAUCUCUAACCAAUAAAUGGGUAAUUUAUGGAAGAAUGUAUAGAUUCAAAUUCCUAUCUGUAAUUAUAAGAUUACCCUACUUAUAAAUAGUAAAAUUUAGGGGUUUGCAUUUGGGAUAGAGAGAGUAAGAGGGAGGAAAACAAAUAACAAGGAAAGGAAGAGAAAAAAGAGAGUGGGAAAAAGAAAAUAUGAGAAAAAAGAAAAGAAAUAAAAAGGGGGGAGGGAGGUGGGGCAUAUGCAAUUCCUCUAUAGUAUAUUAUUCUGGUGAUUCAAUUGUUAAAGACCUUUUUCGUGCACAAUUUUUGGUUUCACAUAUGUUGAGGUUGUGAGGACCAGAGGGAGAAGGGUAGAGGAGACUGAGUGAAUGGCUGAAAACAGAGAGAGGAGAGAGAAAAAGAAAGAAAAAAAAAGUCUCUCAGAACUCUGUUUUCAUUUCUUCCAGUUGGUGGCAUUGUCUAUUCCUAGCUUGAGUCUCUGGGUUCAGGAUGGUGGUGGUAGUCAGUGUGAGAGGAAAUGAGCUUCCGCCUGUGGCCUCUCUACUUUUAUUCUCUGAGAUGUAAACCAGGUGCCUGAUCCACCUCAGAACUGCACUGGUAGCCUUGCCAACUGGUUGGUGGGUUUUAAGGGUUGGUGGGAUUUUCCAAGAUGAGUUCCAUCAGUUUUUUCUCAUAAGGUAUUUGAUGAGGUGGAGGUGUUGGGGAAACCUUAUGUUUGUCAAGAGCUAGGUCAGGUGACCGCAUGGGCGGGCGGCAGGGCCCCUCCUACAGGUGGAGUUGUCUGUCUAUCUUACCUGUGGGAGGCUGGGCUCCUCGAAGUGGGGAGGUCUGUCUACCACGCAGGCAGGCCGCUGAGCCCCUUCUCCGUGUCACAGGGUCUGCCUACCGUGCAGAGGCAGGUGGCGGCUGGGCCCCUCCUCCAAUUUGGGUGGUCUGUCUACCAUGCCUGUGGGCCACUGGGCCCCAUCUCUGGGUUGCGUGGUCUGCCCACCAUGCAGGCGGUGGCUGGGCCCCUCCUCCAAUUGGGGUGGUCUGACUACCACGGGCGGGCCGGUGGGCCCCUUCUCCGGGUCACUCAGUCUGCCUACCGUGCAGGUGCAGGCGGUGGCUGGGCCCCACCUCCAAUUGGGAUUCUGAGCUCUUUUUUAUUCCAUUGAUCAAUGUCUGUUCUUAUGCAAAUAAUAUGCUGCUUUGCAAUCAAGGAGCUUCUGUGUAACCUAAUUUCUAAAGAACACUCUACUAGAAUUCUUUAAGUGACUUCAUGCAAUAGAUAUGCUCAUGAAUUAAUAUCAGUUUUUAGUAGUACCUACUGAUGUGAAAAGACAAUUGAAAAGAUUAAAUAUGCACAAGUUCAUCAUGGAUCAUCAUUAAAACAUGAAUAUGUACAAUUGGCUUUGAGAGGUAGCACUAACUU